UACGUAGGGUGCAAGCGUUGUCCGGAAUUAUUGGGCGUAAAGAGCUCGUAGGCGGUUUGUCGCGUCGGCUGUGAAAACUCGGGGCUCAACCCCGAGCCUGCAGUCGAUACGGGCAGACUAGAGUGCUGUAGGGGAGACUGGAAUUCCUGGUGUAGCGGUGAAAUGCGCAGAUAUCAGGAGGAACACCGGUGGCGAAGGCGGUUCUCUGGGCAGUAACUGACGCUGAGGAGCGAAAGCGUGGGGAGCAAACAGG
rnacentral:rRNA from 1 species